GAGAUGUUGGGUUAAGUCCCGCAACGAGCGCAACCCUCGCCCUUAGUUGCCAUCAUUUAGUUGGGCACUCUAAGGGGACUGCCGGUGAUAAGCCGGAGGAAGGUGGGGAUGACGUCAAGUCCUCAUGGCCCUUACAGGCUGGGCUACACACGUGCUACAAUGGCGGUGACAGAGGGAUGCAAAGGAGCAAUCCUUAGCAAAUCUCAAAAAGCCGUCUCAGUUCGGAUUGUGCUCUGCAACUCGAGCACAUGAAGUUGGAAUCGCUAGUAAUCGCAGAUCAGCACGCUGCGGUGAAUACGUUCCCGGGCCUUGUACACACCGCCCGUCACACCAUGGGAGUUGGCUUUACCUGAAGGCGGUGCGCUAACCCGCAAGGGAGGCAGCCGACCACGGUAGGGUCAGCGACUGGGGUGAAGUCGUAACAAGGUAA
rnacentral:rRNA from 1 species